rnacentral:rRNA from 1 species
UACGAAGGGGGCUAGCGUUGUUCGGAAUUACUGGGCGUAAAGCGCACGUAGGCGGGUUGUUAAGUCAGGGGUGAAAUCCUGGAGCUCAACUCCAGAACUGCCUUUGAUACUGAGGAUCUUGAGUCCGGGAGAGGUGAGUGGAACUGCGAGUGUAGAGGUGAAAUUCGUAGAUAUUCGCAAGAACACCAGUGGCGAAGGCGGCUCACUGGCCCGGUACUGACGCUGAGGCACGAAAGCGUGGGGAGCAAACCGG